rnacentral:misc_RNA from 1 species
UUGUUUCGUUAAGGUAACAAGACGUUCGUUACGCAAUGUUUGUAUUGUAAAAAAAUCGACCCAAAAGGCCAAAUAACGGUUCACAGAGGUGUCAGGAUUAAAAGGGUGAAAAGGCCUAACGGCCAAUCAUUAAUGAUCCUUCCGCAGGUUCACCUACGGAAA